GAGCUGGGGGAGCUGCCGGGAAAGGAGCACGGAAAGCCCCGCUCCGGAGCAGUCCUCCUUCGCUGCGUGUUCCCGAGCCUCAGCACGAAAAACUUGGUUGCUCUCGCACUUGUUUAUGAGCUGCCUGUGAUGUAGGCAAAAUGGCUUUCAGAAAAGCAUACAGUGUCUGUCGCAAGCUGGACCCACUUUCCUUCAGUGUGAUCAUGGAAACCAAGAACAGAGAAGAAUGUCUCAUGCCUGAGUCUGGAGCUGUGGCCGUCCUCUGUAAGUAAAUCCGUUGUGAUAACUACUGUGUUAGAAAGGUGGCAGACUUGAUAUUGUGUGAGCCAUUUAUUUGUGGAAUGUGAAGAAGCAACUGUUCUGUUUCCCUGUUUGCUAAUGGAGAGGCUUCUGAUUUAAAUGAGAAAAGAAAAAGAAAUCUUCUCUUCAUCAGCUGAGAGAAUUUUACAUAUUUGAUUACAUUUCAUUAUGCAUGUACAUUUUCAAGUCCACUAAAUUUCCUUAUAAUUGCUUCCAACAACAUUUUAUUUCUUUGGUUCUUAACAACCCUAUUUUGAGUACGUGAUAUCUCAUUGACAAGCCGAUUCUCUAUGUUGCAUAAUAAUGAGUUUUAUAUUCCUAAAUGUUUUAUCAUAAUUUGGUUUUAUCUCAUUUUUUAUGUUUUUUGAUGGCUUUUUUAUUUUUAGCUUUAUUUUGUCACUGUAUUUUAAUCUGCCUUGAGACUCUGUAUUGAUUUGUCUUGUAAUAAAAUGAGCAAUGCUCUCCAUCAUA